rnacentral:rRNA from 1 species
UUCGGCCAUACCAUGCUGAAUAUACCGGUUCUCGUUCGAUCACCGAAGUCAAGCAUCAUUUGGCGAGGUCAGUACUUGGGUGGGUGACCACCUGGGAACACCGCGUGUCGUU